rnacentral:rRNA from 1 species
CGAAAGCCUGACGGAGCAAUACCGCGUGCGGGAGGAAGGCCUUUGGGUCGUAAACCGCUUUUAACAGGGAAGAAGAUCUGACGGUACCUGUUGAAUAAGCCUCGGCUAACUCCGUGCCAGCAGCCGCGGUAAGACGGAGGAGGCAAGCGUUAUCCGGAAUUAUUGGGCGUAAAGCGUCCGCAGGUGGCCUUAUAAGUCUGUUGUUAAAGCCCAGGGCUCAACUCUGGAUCAGCAAUGGAAACUAUAAGGCUAGAGUACGGUAGGGGUAGAGGGAAUUCCCAGUGUAGCGGUGAAAUGCGUAGAUAUUGGGAAGAACACCAGUGGCGAAGGCGCUCUACUGGGCCGUAACUGACACUCAUGGACGAAAGCUAGGGGAGCG